rnacentral:rRNA from 1 species
AGCGAACGCUGGCGGCAGGCCUAACACAUGCAAGUCGAACGGAUCCUUCGGGAUUAGUGGCGGACGGGUGAGUAACACGUGGGAACGUGCACUUUGGUUCGGAACAACUCAGGGAAACUUGAGCUAAUACCGGAUGUGCCCUUCGGGGGAAAGAUUUAUCGCCAUUGGAGCGGCCCGCGUCUGAUUAGCUAGUUGGUGAGGUAACGGCCCACCAAGGCGACGAUCAGUAGCUGGUCUGAGAGGAUGAUCAGCCACACUGGGACUGAGACACGGCCCAGACUCCUACGGGAGGCAGCAGUGGGGAAUCUUGCGCAACGGGCGAAAGCCUGACGCAGCCAUGCCGCGUGAAUGAUGAAGGUCUUAGGAUUGUAAAAUUCUUUCAGCGGGGACGAUAAUGACGGUACCCGCAGAAGAAGCUCCGGCUAACUUCGUG